GCGCAGGUCCGCUCUGUCGCUGCCGAUUUCGGUCGGGGGAGGAAAGUCCGGGCAACAUAGAGCACCACGCAGGUUAACGGCCUGAUAGGCGAGAGCUUAUGGCAAGCGUAACAGAAAAUAACCGCCGUGUUGGGAGACUCCGUUCGGGGUCAUCUGCGAUGCGGUAAGGGUGAAAAGGUGGGGUAAGAGCCCACCGCGAGGGCAGCAAUGUCACUCGGUCCGUACGUCCCGUGGGUUGCAAGACCAUGUAUACCGGCAGUCAUAGGGCUGCUCGUCCGAUGCCGGGGGGUAGGUUGCUGGAGGCGACGUGAGAGCGUCGUCGUAGAUAAAUGACAGGGGGCCGAGGUGCAGAGGUCGCUAUCGUGAGGUAGUUGUCACAAGCAUUUCGGCAACAGAACCCGGCUUAUAGGGCCUGCAAAGCA
rnacentral:RNase_P_RNA from 1 species